CAGUCGAACGAAAAGACGGAAAGAGCUUGCUCUUUUCAGAAUUGAGUGGCACAUGGGUGAGUAACACGUAAACAACCUGCCUUCAGGAUGGGGACAACAGACGGAAACGACUGCUAAUACCGAAUAAGUUCCAAGAGCCGCAUGGCCCAUGGAAGAAAAGGUGGCCUCUACCUGUAAGCUAUCGCCUGAAGAGGGGUUUGCGUCUGAUUAGCUGGUUGGAGGGGUAACGGCCCACCAAGGCGACGAUCAGUAGCCGGUCUGAGAGGAUGAACGGCCACACUGGAACUGAGACACGGUCCAGACUCCUACGGGAGGCAGCAGUGGGGAAUCUUCCGCAAUGGGCGAAAGCCUGACGGAGCAACGCCGCGUGAGUGAUGACGGCCUUCGGGUUGUAAAACUCUGUGAUCCGGGACGAAAAGGCAGAGUGCGAAGAACAAACUGCAUUGACGGUACCGGAAAAGCAAGCCACGGCUAACUACGUGCCAGCAGCCGCGGUAAUACGUAGGUGGCAAGCGUUGUCCGGAAUUAUUGGGCGUAAAGCGCGCGCAGGCGGCUUCCCAAGUCCCUCUUAAAAGUGCGGGGCUUAACCCCGUGAUGGGAAGGAAACUGGGAAGCUGGAGUAUCGGAGAGGAAAGUGGAAUUCCUAGUGUAGCGGUGAAAUGCGUAGAGAUUAGGAAGAACACCGGUGGCGAAGGC
rnacentral:rRNA from 1 species